GGUCAAUGAUGAUUGGUAAAAGGUCUGAUCGCGCUAAAUGUCACAACUUCUUCCUUGCCCUCCGCUCCCAGCAGCCCGCUUUUUUCCUAGCACAUUGAAGUCGUGUGUGGGAAAGUGGGGCAGCUGACAGUGGAGGACUCUGUCAGUGUGUGUUCCGAGAGAGUGGUUCACAGCUGGCUGCUGUCCAACAGAACCAUUACACAGGAGUCAUAAGGAGUGGCAGGGUGAGUGUGACAGUGCAUGAUCUCAAGUUUUCAAUCUGAGACC
ensembl:scaRNA